rnacentral:rRNA from 1 species
GACGAACGCUGGCGGCGUGCCUAAUACAUGCAAGUCGAACGCAGUGGGGACGGGUGAGUAACACGUGGGUAACCUCCCAUCAGAGGGGAUAACACUUGGAAACAGGUGCUAAACCGAUACUGAUGGAUGGACCCGCGGUGCAUUAGCUAGUUGGUGGGGUAACGGCUAACCAAGGCCACGAUGCAUAGCCGACCUGAGAGGGUGAUAGGCAACACUGGGACUGAGACACGGCCAAGACUCCUACGGGAGGAAGAAGUAGGGAAUCUUCGGCAAUGGGCGAAAGUCUGACCGAGAAACGCCGCGUGAGUGAAGAAGGUUUUCGGGUCGUAAAACUCUGUUGUUAGAGAAGCGGUAUCUAACCAGAAAGCCACGGCUAACUACGUGCCAGCAGCCGCGGUAAUUC